rnacentral:rRNA from 1 species
GUCUAAGUACUAGCCAACUUUUAAAAUGGUGAAACCGCGAAAAGCUCAUUAAAUCGGCUUUGGUUCCUUAGAUAGUUUGCAGAUUGGAGUUUUUUUCGACCUGUCGAAAAAAACAAAAUUCUGAAAUGGAUAACUGUGGUAAUUCUAGAGCUAAUACAUGAAAAAAAUUCGGUGCGAAACUGCGUUUGUUUUUGACAAACGUUAGGCUUUGCACGCUUUUAUUAGAGAAAAAAGCCAAUUUUACUAUUGCUCACGUGUGUCUGUUUUAUUGCGAUGAUGGCAUAACAGUUGUUUUUUUGAAUAGCUGUUUUCUAUUAUUGUUUAAACGGCUGCGUGUGAAACCAAUACUAAUAAAAAUUUUGGUGUUGAAUCUGAAUAACUUGAAUGGAUUCUCUUUGAAAGAAUUUUGUUUCGUUUCGGAAUGAAAUUUGAUUAGAAGAGGGUUUAAAGCAGACCGCAUUAAAAGCUGCAAACAAAACGAUGAGAUCGCUCUCGGGCGUUCGAUUCGAUGUUUGUAGUUUAUGUGGCGUAUCUUUCAAUUGUCUGCCUUAUCAACUGUCGAUGGUAGGUUACAUGCCUACCAUGGUUAUAACGGGUAACGGGGAAUCAGGGUUCGAUUCCGGAGAGGGAGCCUUAGAAACAGCUACCACAUCUAAGGAAGGCAGCAGGCACGUAAAUUACCCAAUCCCAGCUCGGGGAGGUAGUGACGAAAAAUAACAAUCCGGAACUCAAACGAGUCUCCGAAAUUGGAAUGAGUACAGUUUAAAAACUUUAACGAGGAGCAAAUGGAGGGCAAGUCUGGUGCCAGCAGCCGCGGUAAUUCCAGCUCCAUUAGCAUAUAUUAAAGUUGUUGCGUUUAAAAAGCUCGUAGUCGAUUUUGUAUCUCGUACUUUCGAAUUCCCGCGAUUUUAUUCGUGUGGUUUUUGUUAUUUAAUUGUACGAGAUAUAUAGACUGGUGGAUGUUUAGAAAUCGUUUGCUUAUAGACGACGGACAUCUGUUCGCGCUAUUCAUCGAUUUCGAUAUUCAAUACGAUGGGUUUAGGAUUUAAUUUCGCAGCAGUGUAAAAUGUUUCAAUUACGUUACUAUUUUCGCUGUUUGUGAAAUGCUUAAAUUCGAUUGUAUUCUAAACUAUGUUGAAAGCGUUGCGGUCAGAGAUGCAAUUUCGUAAAAAGAAUUGCGUUGUCGCGCUCGUUUUCGGCUUGUCGGGCCGGCGAAAUUACUUUGAACAAAUUAGAGUGCUUAAAGCAGGCAAAUUUUAUGCCUUGAAUAUAAACAGCAUGGAAUAAUAGAAUAUGAUCUCGAUACUGUUUGUUUAAUGUUUUUCUUAUCUUCGGAUAGAAAGGCAUUUUUCGUUUGAUGAUAUGCGUAAGCGUAUUGUGAGGCGAAAUGAAAUUGGCUUAAAGUGGCAAAGUUGGGAAAUCUUAAAUGAUUUUCUUUUUGUCCACGACAGUAU